rnacentral:rRNA from 1 species
UACGUAGGGCGCAAGCGUUGUCCGGAAUUAUUGGGCGUAAAGAGCUCGUAGGCGGCCUGUUGCGUCCGCUGUGAAAUCCCGGGGCUCAACCCCGGGCCUGCAGUGGAUACGGGCUGGCUAGAGGCAGGCAGGGGAGAACGGAAUUCCUGGUGUAGCGGUGAAAUGACGCAGAUAUCAGGAGGAACACCGGUGGCGAAGGCGGUUCUCUGGGCCUGUACUGACGCUGAGGAGCGAAAGCGUGGGGAGCAAACAGG